rnacentral:rRNA from 1 species
AGAGUUUGAUCAUGGCUCAGGACGAACGCUGGCGGCGUGCUUAACACAUGCAAGUCGAGCGAAGAAACAUUUAAAAGAGCCCUGUUUACAGGGACCUUUCUAGUGUUUACUGAGCGGCGGACGGGUGAGUAACGCGUGGGGAAUCUGCCUUAAGCUGAGGAAUAACGCAAGGAAACUUGUACUAAUGCCUCAUAAGACCACAUAAUGGCAUCAUUAAGUGAUCAAAGGGUUUACCGGCUUUAGAGGAUCCCGCGUCUGAUUAGCUAGUUGGUGGGGUAAGAGCCUACCAAGGCGACGAUCAGUAGCCGAACUGAGAGGUUGAUCGGCCACAUUGGGACUGAGACACGGCCCAGACUCCUACGGGAGGCAGCAGUGGGGAAUAUUGCACAAUGGGGGGAACCCUGAUGCAGCAACGCCGCGUGAAGGAAGAAGGCCUUCGGGUUGUAAACUUCUUUGACCAGGGAAGAAACAAAUGACGGUACCUGGAAAACAAGCCACGGCUAACUACGUGCCAGCAGCCGCGGUAAUACGUAGGUGGCGAGCGUUGUCCGGAUUUACUGGGUGUAAAGGGCGUGUAGGCGGGUUUAUAAGUCGGAUGUGAAAUACCGGGGCUCAACUCCGGGGCUGCAUCUGAAACUAUAGAUCUUGAGUGUUGGAGGGGAAAAGUGGAAUUCCUAGUGUAGCGGUGAAAUGCGUAGAUAUUAGGAGGAAACACCAGUGGCGAAGGCGGCUUUCUGGCCAAACACUG